CCUACGGGAGGCAGCAGUAGGGAAUAUUGCUCAAUGGGGGAAACCCUGAAGCAGCAACGCCGCGUGGAGGAUGAAGGUUUUCGGAUUGUAAACUCCUUUUGUUAGAGAAGAUAAUGACGGUAUCUAACGAAUAAGCACCGGCUAACUCCGUGCCAGCAGCCGCGGUAAUACGGAGGGUUCCAGCGUUACUCGGAAUCACUGGGCGUAAAGGGCGCGUAGGCGGGAUAGCAAGUCAGAUGUGAAAUCCUAUGGCUUAACCAUAGAACUGCAUUUGAAACUGUUAUUCUAGAGUAUGGGAGAGGUAGGUGGAAUUCUUGGUGUAGGGGUAAAAUCCGUAGAGAUCAAGAGGAAUACUCAUUGCGAAGGCGACCUGCUAGAACAUAACUGACGCUGAUGCGCGAAAGCGUGGGGAGCAAACAGGAUUAGAUACCCCGGUAGUC
rnacentral:rRNA from 1 species